rnacentral:rRNA from 1 species
GACAGAGGGUGCAACCGUUGUUCGGAUUUACUGGGCGUAAAGCGCGUGUAGGCGGCUUGGCAAGUCGGAUGUGAAAGCCCACGGCUCAACCGUGGAAGCGCAUCCGAAACUGCUUCGCUCGAGUCUCGGAGAGGAAGGUGGAAUGCUUGGUGUAGAGGUGAAAUUCGUAGAUAUCAAGCGGAACACCGGUGGCGAAGGCGGCCUUCUGGACAGUGACUGACGCUGAGACGCGAAAGCGUGGGGAGCAAACAGG